rnacentral:rRNA from 1 species
CCGUACACAAAAGCGCAUGUGCUGUGAGCUCGAUGAGUAGGGCGGGACACGUGGUAUCCUGUCUGAAUAUGGGGGGACCAUCCUCCAAGGCUAAAUACUCCUGACUGACCGAUAGUGAACCAGUACCGUGAGGGAAAGGCGAAAAGAACCCCGGCGAGGGGAGUGAAAAAGAACCUGAAACCGUGUACGUACAAGCAGUGGGAGCACAGGUUUACCUGUGUGACUGCGUACCUUUUGUAUAAUGGGUCAGCGACUUAUAUUCUGUAGCAAGGUUAACCGUAUAGGGGAGCCGAAGGGAAACCGAGUCUUAACCGGGCGUUAAGUUGCAGGGUAUAGACCCGAAACCCGGUGAUCUAGCCAUGGGCAGGUUGAAGGUUGGGUAACACUAACUGGAGGACCGAACCGACUAAUGUUGAAAAAUUAGCGGAUGACCUGUGGCUGGGGGUGAAAGGCCAAUCAAACCGGGAGAUAGCUGGUUCUCCCCGAAAGCUAUUUAGGUAGCGCCUCGUGAAUUCAUCUCCGGGGGUAGAGCACUGUUUCGGCUAGGGGGCCAUCCCGGCUUACCAACCCGAUGCAAACUGCGAAUACCGGAGAAUGUUAUCACGGGAGACACACGGCGGGUGCUAACGUCCGUCGUGAAGAGGGAAACAACCCAGACCGCCAGCUAAGGUCCCAAAGUCAUGGUUAAGUGGGAAACGAUGUGGGAAGGCCCAGACAGCCAGGAUGUUGGCUUAGAAGCAGCCAUCAUUUAAAGAAAGCGUAAUAGCUCACUGGUCGAGUCGGCCUGCGCGGAAGAUGUAACGGGGCUAAACCAU